GUAGGUGGCAAGCGUUGUCCGGAAUUAUUGGGCGUAAAGCGCGCGCAGGCGGUUCUUUAAGUCUGAUGUGAAAGCCCACGGCUCAACCGUGGAGGGUCAUUGGAAACUGGAGAACUUGAGUACAGAAGAGGAAAGCGGAAUUCCACGUGUAGCGGUGAAAUGCGUAGAGAUGUGGAGGAACACCAGUGGCGAAGGCGGCUUUCUGGUCUGUAACUGACGCUGAGGCGCGAAAGCGUGGGGGAGCAAACAGGAUUAGAUACCCUGGUAGUCCACGCCGUAAACGAUGAGUGCUAAGUGUUAGGGGGUUUCCGCCCCUUAGUGCUGCAGCUAACGCACUAAGCACUCCGCCUGGGAGUACGGCCGCAAGGCUG
rnacentral:rRNA from 1 species